GAGCAGAGCUGCAGCGGCUGCCGCGGGCACCGGAGAGCCAGCCCAGGACGCCCCGGCCCAGGCCCGCGGGGUAGACAAGUCCUUCACCCCUCGCCGGAGUGUGUGGAGGAGUGAUGGGCAGAACCAGCGCUUCCCUCAGGCACUAGACCUAACACGAGUGGACUUCGUUCCCUCCCAUACUGCUUCACUCUACCCUAAGAACACAGAUCUGUUUGAGAUGAUUGAAAAGAUGCAGGGAAGCAGGAUGGAUGAACAACGAUGCUCCUUCCCACCACCCCUCAAAACGGAGGAGGACUACAUUCCCUACCCGAGCGUCCACGAGGUCCUGGGGCGAGAAGGGCCCUUCCCCCUCAUCCUGCUGCCCCAGUUUGGGGGCUACUGGAUUGAAGGCACCAACCACGAGAUCACCAGCAUCCCCGAGACAGAGCCGCUGCAGUCGCCCACAGCCAAGGUGAAGCUUGAGUGCAACCCCACGGCCCGCAUCUACCGGAAGCACUUUCUUGGCAAGGAGCAUUUCAAUUACUACUCACUGGACACCGCCCUGGGCCACCUUGUCUUCUCACUCAAGUAUGAUGUCAUCGGGGACCAGGAGCACCUGCGGCUGCUGCUCAGGACCAAAUGUCGGACAUACCAUGAUGUCAUCCCCAUCUCCUGCCUCACCGAGUUCCCCAACGUGGUCCAGAUGGCAAAGCUGGUGUGUGAAGAUGUGAAUGUGGAUCGAUUCUAUCCUGUGCUCUACCCCAAGGCUUCCCGCCUCAUCGUCACCUUUGACGAGCAUGUUAUCAGCAAUAACUUCAAGUUUGGAGUCAUUUAUCAGAAGCUUGGGCAGACCUCCGAGGAAGAACUCUUUAGCACCAACGAGGAAAGCCCCGCCUUCAUGGAGUUCCUCGAAUUUCUUGGCCAGAAAGUCAAACUGCAGGACUUUAAGGGGUUCCGAGGAGGCCUGGACGUGACCCACGGGCAGACGGGGACCGAGUCUGUGUACUGCAACUUCCGCAACAAGGAGAUCAUGUUUCACGUGUCCACCAAGCUGCCCUACACAGAAGGGGACGCCCAGCAGUUGCAGCGGAAGCGGCACAUCGGCAAUGACAUCGUGGCCGUGGUCUUCCAGGAUGAGAACACGCCCUUUGUGCCCGACAUGAUCGCGUCCAACUUCCUGCAUGCCUAUGUGGUGGUGCAGGCCGAGGGCGGGGGGCCCGACGGCCCCCUCUACAAGGUCUCCGUCACUGCGAGAGACGACGUGCCCUUCUUUGGGCCCCCCCUCCCGGACCCUGCUGUGUUCAGGAAGGGGCCUGAGUUCCAGGAAUUUUUGCUGACAAAGCUGAUCAAUGCUGAAUAUGCUUGCUACAAGGCAGAGAAGUUUGCCAAACUGGAGGAGCGGACACGGGCCGCCCUCCUGGAGACGCUCUAUGAGGAACUGCACAUCCACAGCCAGUCCAUGCUGGGCCUGGGCGGCGACGAGGACAAGAUGGAGAACGGCGGCGGUGGCGGCGGCUUCUUCGAGUCUUUCAAGCGGGUCAUCCGGAGCCGCAGCCAGUCCAUGGAUGCCAUGGGCCUGAGCAACAAGAAGCCCAACACGGUGUCCACCAGCCACAGCGGGAGCUUCGCACCCAACAACCCCGACCUGGCCAAGGCGGCCGGAAUAUCAUUGCUUAUUCCUGGGAAAAGUGCGAGUAGAUUCGGACGCCGGGGCAGUGCCAUAGGCAUAGGAACCGUGGAAGAGUCGCUGAUUGUCCCCGGGAAGAGCCCCACGAGGAAGAAGUCGGGCCCGUUUGGCUCCCGCCGCAGUAGCGCCAUCGGCAUCGAGAACAUACAAGAGGUGCAGGAGAAAAGGCCCAGUGCUGAGUCCCCCCGCUGCCCCCGUGUGCCCCGCAGGGAGAGCCCCCCAGCUGGCCAGAAGACCCCAGACAGUGGGCACGUCUCACAGGAGCCCAAGUCGGAGAACUCAUCCACUCAGAGCUCCCCAGAGAUGCCCACGACCAAGAACAGAGUGGAGACAGCAGCCCAGAGAGCAGAGGUGCUGAAGGACUUCUCCCGCUCCUCGUCCAGUGCCAGCAGCUUCGCCAGCGUGGUGGAGGAGACGGAGGGUGUGGACGGGGACGACACAGGCCUGGAGAGCGUCUCGUCCUCAGGGACGCCUCACAAGCGGGACUCCUUCAUCUACAGCACGUGGCUGGAGGACAGCGUGAGCACCGCCAGCGGGGGCAGCUCCCCAGUGAGGUGGCUCCCUCCUGCCCCCCUCCCCAGGCCCCUCGAGGUCACCCCACCCAGACGCCGGCAAGUCGGGGGACCCUGCGUGUCCCGAGAUAAAGAUCCAGCUGGAAGCGUCUGACCAGCACACGCCCCAGCUGGGCUGUUAGCCAGGCUCCCCCUCUGAAGGUGAAGGUGAGCAGAUGAGGCCACAGAAGCACAAGGCGAAGAUGCUAUGUCCAGUCCAGGCAAAUAGGACCUCUGCCUGCAAGGCCAGCAGCAGCCUGCGGGCUGCCCCUGCCUCCCCAGCCCUCCUCUUGGCCGCCGUCUGGGCUGUCUCUGCGGGGCGGAGCCAUCCAGACCCGGGAGAGGGGAAGCUGCUGGCAUCAUCCCCACCCCCCGGCUGGGGGGCCCGGCUGGGGCAGGGAGUGGCCAGUUGAAGCAGGACUCCAGGCCUGGCUCGCCCCCACCCUGGGCCCUCCUUCACCCCUGGGUGCCCCUCUGGACCCAGGGGGAGUGAGAUGGGGGGAGAUUGCGAUAUCUCAGUGCACACAGAGCCUGCUGUGGAGACAUGGGGUGUGAGGUGUGGUGGAAUGAGCACUGGGCUGGGAGUCCCGGGUCCCGGCUUCUGAUCUGGGUUCUGCUGUGACUCUGGUCGUGUCCCUCUCCCUCUCUGGACGCCUCUGCUAAUGGACAAGAUUGUUCUUCAGAGGUCACUGAAGACUGUGAUCCCAUGCCCCGGCCCCAGAAUGGGGGAUUGUCUUCCCAGGGGCUUCCUCACCCUACCAUGCUUCUAGGGGCCCCUGGGGCCCCAGGUGGGCUGAGGGGCAGGGAGCUGGCUGUGCCCGUUGCCUCUCCUGGACCGUCAGGCUCCACCACAGAUCUGCCUAUGCCCUGUCCACUGCCUCCACGUGACAGAUGAGUGACCCCCUCGGGGGAAGGGGGACCUACCUGGCUCCUCAGCCAGCACCCAGCUUAACCCCUGCCAUCCCACGCUCCUGGGCGCUCCAGGCCGAGGGGUCUCAGCUGGCCUAGCGUUACAGGCCUCACCUCCACGCUGCCCCCCGUGGAGGGGGCAGCCGGGCCCAGCUGCUGUGAGUCCACAUCCUUGUGUGUGUCUGUCCACACUUUUUAGGCACCACGCCAAAGGCCAGCCUUCCGGCCCUCAACACCUGUUUUGGAAGCCCCCGUGCCGUGUGUACGUCGGUAACAGUUGUACAAAAUAAAUUCUAUUUAUCGCUAUUGUA